rnacentral:rRNA from 1 species
UUGAGCGCUGGCGGCAGGCCUAACACAUGCAAGUCGCACGGUAACAGAAAGCAGCUUGCUGCUUUGCUGACGAGUGGCGGACGGGUGAGUAAUGUCUGGGAAACUGCCUGAUGGAGGGGGAUAACUACUGGAAACGGUAGCUAAUACCGCAUAACGUCGCAAGACCAAAGAGGGGGACCUUCGGGCCUCUUGCCAUCGGAUGUGCCCAGAUGGGAUUAGCUAGUAGGUGGGGUAACGGCUCACCUAGGCGACGAUCCCUAGCUGGUCUGAGAGGAUGACCAGCCACACUGGAACUGAGACACGGUCCAGACUCCUACGGGAGGCAGCAGUGGGGAAUAUUGCACAAUGGGCGCAAGCCUGAUGCAGCCAUGCCGCGUGUAUGAAGAAGGCCUUCGGGUUGUAAAGUACUUUCAGCGGGGAGGAAGGGAGUAAAGUUAAUACCUUUGCUCAUUGACGUUACCCGCAGAAGAAGCACCGGCUAACUCCGUG